rnacentral:rRNA from 1 species
GACGGAGGGUGCAAGCGUUGUUCGGAAUUACUGGGCGUAAAGGGCGCGUAGGCGGUCUGUUAAGUUCGGUGUGAAAGCCCCCGGCUUACCCGGGGAACUGCGCCGGAAACCGACAGACUCGAGUACCGGAGAGGAGGGUGGAAUUCCUGGUGUAGCGGUGAAAUGCGUAGAUAUCAGGAGGAACACCGGUGGCGAAGGCGGCCCUCUGGACGGAUACUGACGCUGGAGGCGCGAAAAGCGUGGGGAUCAAAACAGGG